rnacentral:rRNA from 1 species
GUAGAACGCUGAAGAGAGGAGCUUGCUCUUCUUGGAUGAGUUGCGAACGGGUGCGUAACGCGUAGGUAACCUGCCUUGUAGCGGGGGAUAACUAAUGGAAACGAUAGCUAAUACCGCAUAACAAUGGGUGACACAUGUCAUUUAUUUGAAAGGGGCAAUUGCUCCACUACAAGAUGGACCUGCGUUGUAUUAGCUAGUAGGUGAGGUAACGGCUCACCUAGGCGACGAUACAUAGCCGACCUGAGAGGGUGAUCGGCCACACUGGGACUGAGACACGGCCCAGACUCCUACGGGAGGCAGCAGUAGGGAAUCUUCGGCAAUGGGGGCAACCCUGACCGAGCAACGCCGCGUGAGUGAAGAAGGUUUUCGGAUCGUAAAGCUCUGUUGUAAGUCAAGAACGAGUGUGAGAGUGGAAAGUUCACACUGUGACGGUAGCUUACCAGAAAGGGACGGCUAACUACGUGCCAGCAGCCGCGGUAAUACGUAGGUCCCGAGCGUUGUCCGGAUUUAUUGGGCGUAAAGCGAGCGCAGGCGGUUUGAUAAGUCUGAAGUUAAAGGCUGUGGCUCAACCAUAGUUCGCUUUGGAAACUGUCAAACUUGAGUGCAGAAGGGGAGAGUGGAAUUCCAUGUGUAGCGGUGAAAUGCGUAGAUAUAUGGAGGAACACCGGUGGCGAAAGCGGCUCUCUGGUCUGUAACUGACGCUGAGGCUCGAAAGCGUGGGGAGCGAACAGGAUUAGAUACCCUGGUAGUCCACGCCGUAAACGAUGAGUGCUAGGUGUUGGAUCCUUU